GAGACUGGCAGCUGAGAGAUACCAAAAGGAAGAAAAAAGAAAACCAUUGCUCUUGAUAUUGCUAAUGCCGGGGGAGGUAAGCUAACGAGAAAGUAGGGAAAAGGAAGGUUUUAGAGUUCACCUCCACUCCUUCCCCUGGCUAACACUCUUUACACUCUUCUGCCUUCCCUUGAGAUAAUUAAAAUAGACUGUACACCGGCCCUAGUCGGUGCCCAUUCCCCCUAACUCUUCACUCAACUACGUGUGUAGUCCGAGGGAGUGAGGACCCCGGGUCCAAGAGCUCAAUCCCGGCCCCGCCCCGUCGGCCCAGGCCCCGGGGCUGGGAGGAGAGGAUGCCUUCGGAGGCGCAGAAUCCGAAAAUUUUUCUGCAUCCCUUUAAGUCUAUGUGUGUGAUUUCAUGUGAGAUGGAUUUCUUGAA
rnacentral:lncRNA from 1 species